rnacentral:rRNA from 1 species
UACGUAGGGGGCAAGCGUUGUCCGGAUUUAUUGGGCGUAAAGCGCGCGCAGGCGGUCUACCAAGUUCGGAGUGACAGUUUCCGGCUUAACCGGAAAAGGUCUUCGAAAACUGGUGGACUUGAGGACUUGAGGGAGAGACGGAAUUCCGGGUGGAGCGGUGAAAUGCGUAGAGAUCCGGAGGAACACCGAAAGCGAAGGCAGUCUCCUGGCAAGUUUCUGACGCUCAGGUGCGAAAGCUAGGGGAGCGAACAGG